AACGUAGGAGGCGAGCGUUAUCCGGAGUUACUGGGCGUAAAGCGCGUGUAGGUGGCUUGUUGCGUCUGCUGUGAAAGCUUCCGGCUUAACCGGGACUAGGCGGUAGAUACGGGCAAGCUAGAGGGUGACAGAGGAGCGUAGAAUUCCGGGUGUAGUGGUGAAAUGCGUAGAUAUCUGGAGGAACACCGGUGGCGAAGGCGGCAUCCUGGACCGGCAUUGACGCUGAGGAGCGAAAGCCAGGGGAGCAAACGGG
rnacentral:rRNA from 1 species